CAUAGGGAAGAUUAGCAUGGCCCCUGAGCGAGGAUGACAUGCAAAUUUGUGGUGGUCCGUAUUUUU
rnacentral:snRNA from 1 species